rnacentral:rRNA from 1 species
AACGAACGCUGGCGGCAGGCUUAACACAUGCAAGUCGAGCGCCCCGCCAGGGGAGCGGCCGACGGGUGAGUAACGCGUGGGAACGUACCUUUUGGUUCGGAACAACUCCGGGAAACUGGAGCUAAUACCGGAUAAGCCCUAACGGGGAAAGAUUUAUCGCCGAAAGAUCGGCCCGCGUCUGAUUAGCUAGUUGGUGAGGUAACGGCUCACCAAGGCGACGAUCAGUAGCUGGUCUGAGAGGAUGAUCAGCCACACUGGGACUGAGACACGGCCCAGACUCCUACGGGAAGCAGCAGUGGGGAAUAUUGGACAAUGGGCGCAAGCCUGAUCCAGCCAUGCCGCGUGAGUGAUGAAGGCCUUAGGGUUGUAAAGCUCUUUUGUCCGGGAAGAUAAUGACUGUACCGGAAGAAUAAGCCCCGGCUAACUUCGUG